rnacentral:rRNA from 1 species
CUCAACCGCGGGUUGGCGUGGAAAACUGGUGGACUUGAGUGCACGAGGGGAGAGCGGAAUUCCCGGAGUAGCGGUGGAAUGCGCAGAUAUCGGGAAGAACACCAGUGGCGAAAGCGGCUCUCUGGCGUGCAACUAACCCUCAGGGACGAAAGCGUGGGUAGCAAACAGGAUUAGAUACCCUGGUAGUCCACGCUGUAAACGUUGUGCACUAGAUGCCGGCGGCACUCCGGUGCUGUCGGUGUCCAAGUUAACGCGAUAAGUGCACCGCCUGGGGACUACGGCCGCAAGGCUAAAACUCAAAGGAAUUGACGGGGGCCCGCACAACCGGUGGAGCAUGUGGCUUAAUUCGAGGCUACGCGAAGAACUUUACCCGGGUUUGACAUAUAUCCGCCCGCCUGUGAAAUCAGGUUUUCUCUUCGGAGACGG